UACGAAGGGGGCUAGCGUUGUUCGGAAUUACUGGGCGUAAAGCGCGCGCAGGCGGCCAUUCAAGUCAGGGGUGAAAGCCCAGAGCUCAACUCUGGAACUGCCCUUGAAACUGUAUGGCUUGAGUAUGAGAGAGGUGAGUGGAAUUCCCAGUGUAGAGGUGAAAUUCGUAGAUGUUGGGAAGAACACCGGUGGCGAAGGCGGCUCACUGGCUCAUUACUGACGCUCAGGCGCGACAGCGUGGGGAUCAAACAGG
rnacentral:rRNA from 1 species